AUGAAUCUUAUCAGUUGGAACUGCCGGGGAGGGGGAAUUCGAACAGUUCGCAAAAUCGCGACGGUCUCUCAGUCGCAUUCCCCCACUUUUGUGUUUCUUUGUGAGACCAGACAGAAAACUGAAAAGAUGAAGAGGAUUCGAGGUAGACUUGGGCUGAAGGGUUUUGAAGGGGUGGAUGGUAAUGGACUCGGUGGUGGUCUAGCUUUGUUUUGGUAUAUGAGGCAUGUGUGGUUGAUAUUCUGGAUAAAGAUGGUCGGUUCAUUGAUGCCUUGGUCCGGAUUAAUUCAGAUGCUGAGCAAUGAAGACUUAUGUGCGUAUAUGGAGAACCACGGGUUGAACAUAGACACGCGAUGUGGACAAAUCUCAAGAAUCUUAAGAAUGUUUGUGACAGACCAUGGUUGGUGGUAG
rnacentral:rRNA from 1 species